UUUUAUGGUAUCCAGCCAUCGUAUUCUUUGGCAUCCAGGUCUUCUCCCGUCAUAAAGGCUGUGGAUACUUAAUUCCAGAGACUGGAGCCAUGAGCAUAAAAUACAGAUCUUUCUACAAACCUGGAAAAAGCCCCAAGUUUUCAGAGAAAUUUAAAAAAGAUACCCUGAGGGAAAUUUUAAAAACACAAAAUAAUAAAUACCCUGUAGCUUCAAGAAAUGAACACCCUCCAUGUGCAUUGCUAGGCAACCAUAACAGUAUCUCCAGUGCUCAUGGGCGCUUUCUAGGGCUCUGGCCUUUGAAGGAGGACUCAUCAGGAGCCAGCUCAACAACAACCACCAUGCAGCCUAAUACUGCACAACUUGAAUGACUUUCCAGGGACAGCUGCUGACUUUUGUUUAACAGAAGUCCCCCUAUGCUGGUGUGGCUUACCAGUUAGAGUUUUUGACUAGACCUAGAGACUCAGGUUCAAAGCUCCUUGCAUAAAUUUUGGCAAUUACACUUUCUCAGCCUAACCUAGCUCAUAGGAAGAUCCAAUAUGAAAUGAAUUGAUUCUAUAAAGGUAACCACAGCCCCCAGUUUGUAAGACCUCAUCAAGGCUGUUAAUGAUAGGACAUUUUGGAGAACAUUGAUUCAUGAGUUGGAAGUCACUUGGCAGCACUUGUUAUAUACAAAUUGAAAUGUUCAUUUGGGGGGUAUUGUAAACUCCCAGACCCCACCCUCUCUAUAGGGUGCCUUAAGUGGCACAGGGAAGAGGAACUGACAUGAGAACCUGAUGCUACUACACAAAAAAGAGUUUCCAAGAGACUUCAGGUCUUCAUCUUGUGCGUCAAAGGAUGGGGGUGGGGGGAGUUGGAAAGCUGUACUUUUCUCAUGGCCCAAGGUGUGCCUAGCUGAACAGUGGGGCUAGCUAAUUUCCAUUGUCUCACCCUACAGUGAUUCCCAGCCCCAUCCAGAGAGGGCGCCAAAAGGGCUUAAGGAAGCGGUGCAGCCUUUUGCUGGUACAUUUGCCCUCCCCAUUACUGCAUGCUAAAUGCUAAAAGAGAAUUGCUAUAAAUUGUUUCAAAGACAGUACAUAACUCUUGAAAUGAUUAAGAAGAGGAUUACACAAAGUGAUAGUCUUCUGGAGGUGUCAUGAAGAGGUUGAGUUCUUCCAUAUGUGGAGGACUUGCAAAAAAAUCAAGUAUUACAUGAAAAUGCAAAAAGUAAUCAAAUUAAAAUUUCCCCUUAAGAGAGAUUUGGGAGAAAUAUUUCUUGGUUGGGUUAAUCAAAUGUAUAAAACACAAGAAGCUAAAUUAAUAAUAAAUGGAAAACUUUCCAACAAAUUCGCACCAGGCAAGGCUGUCCCCCUUCCCCACUUUUGUUUAUUCUUUCUUUAGAAGUAUUGUUGAACUUCAUAAGAAAAAAAUAAUUAUAUUAGAAGAAUUAAAAUUAAAGGGGAAGAUUAUAAGGUUAAAGUGUAUACUGAUGAUGUCAUAAUACUUGAAAAUCCAUCUGACUCCCUUUCAUAUCUUAAAAAAUUAUUAGUGAAUUUUGGAAGUGUAUCAGGUUUAGAACUUAAUAAAGAUAAAUCAUAUUUUCUAGUCAAAAAUAUGGGUAAUGAAACUGAAAAACAAAUUGCUACAAAGGUAAAAUAUUUGAGGAUAUAUUUAUCCUCAUCUAAUUCAGCAUUAUACAAAAAUAAUUAUGAAAAAUUAGAAAUAGACAUAUAUGGAUUAUUAGAAAAAUGAGGGGAAAACUUAAUCUUUCUCUACUACAAAAGAUUGCAGCAAUCAAAAUGACUAUACUUCCUAAAUUUUUAUUUUUGUUUCAAUGCAUUCCAAUAGUGAAACAAGGAAGCGUUUAAAAAUGGCAAAUGAUGAUCAAUCAAUUUAUUUUUGGGGGGAAAUCUCCUAGGAUAAAAAUUAAAAAAGAGGAGGUUUAGCGCUUCCUAAUUUGAAAUUGUAUCAUGAAGCUAUAAGUUUAGUUUGGUUAAAAGAUUGGUUCGAGUUAAAAAAUCACAAUUAUUAUAUCUUGAAGGAGAAGGAUUAAGAUUUGGUUUUCAUGCCUUUCUUUGGUAUGAAAAAUUAAAGAUGAAUAAACAAUUUCUAAAUCAUAUAAAAACUUCAUUAUAUAAGGUAUGGAUUAAAUUAAAAAAAAUUAUUCAGAUUUGCCAUUACAGGUGGCUCCAAAUGAGGCACUACUUAAAAGAUGUUAAAAAAAAUGGAUAAGAUAUUUACAAAUUAUAAAUAAAAUUAUAACCGGAGGAAAAAUAAGAUAUGAAUUGAAAACAAAACAAGAUUUACUAAAAGAAGGGCUAGACUUGGUGGUUUAUUUUCAACUGAAAAACUGUUAUAUGAAGGAUAAAAAUCAAUUCAGAAGGAUGGUAAAAGAGGAUAUAUUGGAAAAAAAUUAAUAAACAAAGACAAACGUUUAAUUAAAAAUAUGCAUCAAAUUGGUCUUAAUUUGGAACAGGAAACAGAAUCAAUUAAAGAUUAUAUGAUUAAAUGGGCAAUAGACAUUGGUCAUAAUAUGAUGCUGUAAGAUUAGGAAAAGCUAUGAAAAUCUACUUUAAAAUUUACAAAUAGCAAUUAUAUAAAAGAAAAUUAUAUGAAAAUGCGCUUCAGGUGGUAUAUGACUUCUGUAAGAUUAGCCAAAAUAAAAAAAAUAUCAAAUAAAUGUUGGAAAUGUGGUAAAGAAUGAGGAACAUUUAUACAUCAAUGGUGGAAUUGUGAGAAGGUUUUUCUUUAUUUUGUUAAUAAAACUCAAUUGUUAAUUUUACAAAGGCCUAUCAUUUAAAAGAUUUGACUUGGAUGAUCCUCGGAAACACAGGUUAGUGGUCUCAGUUAGUCCCUCUCGCUAAACUUUGUCUCCGAAACCUAAUUCCCGCAACUAAAAGUGGAGACAGCCUACAAUGGGUAACACAGUGGGUUUAAUUGGUAUGCAAAUUAUCAUUUUGACACUGGGCCUGAGCUACUUCCCCACACGUCUGUGGAUUUCCACCUCUGUUUCUUUACCAAUCAUGAUGUCGCAUCAACUUUCAGUUCUCAUUAUAACGUUAGAAAGCUUUUGAGAAGCUUCUAAUACAAUUUGAUGGACAAAUUUGUAAACAAUCUCUUCUUUCUUUUCCAUUUGUACUCAAUCAUCAAUUACUUGAUAUUUAAUAAUGUCUUUCCACUAUGUUAUAUCUUUCCACUAUGUUCUUUCAGUUUAGCAUUCAUGUUUAUACAGAAGGAGCAAUGCUUUAAUGGAAUAAAGUGUAAAGAAUUUCUUAUAAAAUAUGCUUGCUUUGACAUGUUUGUCAAGUUCAAGUCUCAAAGUAGAAAUUAUAUAACUUGGGAAAACGCAGUUUCCUUCAUUGUCAUAGAAACUCAUGGAACUUUUGGAAUAAAACUGCAGGAGAUGAGGUCUCUGAUCAUAUUUCUCCUA